rnacentral:rRNA from 1 species
AGAGUUUGAUCAUGGCUCAGGAUGAACGCUAGCUACAGGCUUAACACAUGCAAGUCGAGGGGAAACGACAUCGAAAGCUUGCUUUUGGAUGGGCGUCGACCGGCGCACGGGUGAGUAACGCGUAUCCAACCUGCCCACCACUUGGGGAUAACCUUGCGAAAGUAAGACUAAAUACCAAUGACCGUCUACUAGAAGACUAUACUGAAGGAAGAAUUAAAGAUUUAUCGGUGAUGGAGUGGGGAUGCGUCUGAUUAG